AAUAGAGAAAUAUUUGAAAUAAGCAGUGAGCUUGUUUAGAAGCUGAACCUUGUGGAGUUGUUUAAUUGAAUCCCUAAACUCGGAAUAAUGCCUCAAGAGAAUAAAAACGGCAUUCACUGAAUGAAUAAAGAAAGAAGUAAGAUGUUUGGUUUAACAGGUCCUACAUCUGUGACUGUUGAGAAGAGAUCCCAGUAAAAAACACAUGCUUCUCUUACUCAUAAACAGCUAGGAUUGAACGUAAGGGAUGAAUUACAUUGAUCAUGUUUCCUGAUAUGGAGAAGCAGGAGACCUCUACAGCUCUUUAGCUCUCCCUGUCCAUCUGUCAAUAAUUCAAGUGACGCACAACAGAAGACAAAACAGAUGAUAAAGAUGCUAAGUAACAAAGGGGAGAGAUGUUGAACCAGCAAGCAAGUAGCAUCCCAUACCAGGCUGAUGUGAUCUGACUAGCACAGAGGGGAUUUUUUCUGGAAGGAAAGCGAAAAGGUACCUUCAUGAAGAGUCGUUGGGGUCAGUACUGACAUACGAAACUUAUAAGCAAACAUGAAGGAUGCCGUUGUCUGACUCAGAGGACUGAGAAUGGAAGCUCGUUUCGAUGACAAGGCUAAUGCAUGGCAGCCUACUUAACAUUUGUUUAUUUUUCUAUUUGUUUAUUCAAAU